AAGGUUAACCGAAUAGGGGAGCCGGAGGGAAACCGAGUCUUAACCGGGCGUUAAGUUGCAGGGUAUAGACCCGAAACCCGGUGAUCUAGCCAUGGGCAGGUUGAAGGUUGGGUAACACUAACUGGAGGACCGAACCGACUAAUGUUGAAAAAUUAGCGGAUGACCUGUGGCUGGGGGUGAAAGGCCAAUCAAACCGGGAGAUAGCUGGUUCUCCCCGAAAGCUAUUUAGGUAGCGCCUCGUGAAUUCAUCUCCGGGGGUAGAGCACUGUUUCGGCUAGGGGGCCAUCCCGGCUUACCAACCCGAUGCAAACUGCGAAUACCGGAGAAUGUUAUCACGGGAGACACACGGCGGGUGCUAACGUCCGUCGUGAAGAGGGAAACAACCCAGACCGCCAGCUAAGGUCCCAAAGUCAUGGUUAAGUGGGAAACGAUGUGGGAAGGCCCAGACAGCCAGGAUGUUGGCUUAGAAGCAGCCAUCAUUUAAAGAAAGCGUAAUAGCUCACUGGUCGAGUCGGCCUGCGCGGAAGAUGUAACGGGGCUAAACCAUGCACCGAAGCU
rnacentral:rRNA from 1 species